GAUGAACGCUGGCGGCGUGCCUAAUACAUGCAAGUCGAGCGAACAGACGAGGAGCUUGCUCCUUCGACGUUUGCGGCGGACGGGUGAGUCACACGUAGGUAACCUACCUAUAAGACUGGGAUAACUUCGGGAAACCGGCGCUAAUACCGGAUAAUCUUUCGAACCGCAUGGUUCGAUAGUGAAAGUUGGCUUUGCUAUCACUUAUAGCUGGACCUGCGCCGUAUUAGCUAGUUGGUAAGGUAACGGCUUAUCAAGGCAACGAUACGUAGCCGACCUGUGAGACGGGUAGGCGGCACGGGAGGGUGACCAGGGACCAGACUACUGAGAGACGCAGCAGUAGGGUAUCGGCCGCAGUAGGCGAAAACAUGACGGAGUAGCGCGGCGUGAGUGAUGAAGAUCUUGGGAUCGUAAAGCUCUGUUAUGAGGGAAGAACAAACGUGGAAGUAACUGUGCACUGCUUGACGGUACCUAAUCAGAAAGCAACGGCUAACUACGUG
rnacentral:rRNA from 1 species